rnacentral:rRNA from 1 species
GAUGAACGCUGGCGGCGUGCCUAAUACAUGCAAGUCGAGCGAACAGACGAGGAGCUUGCUCCUCUGACGUUAGCGGCGGACGGGUGAGUAACACGUGGAUAACCUACCUAUAAGACUGGGAUAACUUCGGGAAACCGGAGCUAAUACCGGAUAAUAUAUUGAACCGCAUGGUUCAAUAGUGAAAGACGGUUUUGCUGUCACUUAUAGAUGGAUCCGCGCCGCAUUAGCUAGUUGGUAAGGUAACGGCUUACCAAGGCAACGAUGCGUAGCCGACCUGAGAGGGUGAUCGGCCACAGUGGGACUGAGACACGGCCCAGACUCCUACGGGAGGCAGCAGUAGGGAAUCUUCCGCGAUGGGCGAAAGCCUGAAGGAGCAACGGCGCGUGAGUGAUGAAGGUCUUCGGAUCGUAAAACUCUGUUAUGAGGGAAGAACAAAUGUGUAAGUAACGAAGCGCGUCUUGACGGUACCUAAUAAGAAAGCCACGGCUAACUACGU